GACGAACGCUGGCGGCGUGCUUAACACAUGCCAGUCGUACGGUAAGGCCCUUUCGGGGGUCCACGAGUGGCGAACGGGUGAGUAACACGUGAGUAACCUGCCCACAACUUUGGGAUAACGCUAGGAAACUGGUGCUAAUACUGGAUAUGUGCUCCUGCUGCAUGGUGGGGGUUGGAAAGCUCCGGCGGUUGUGGAUGGACUCGCGGCCUAUCAGCUUGUUGGUGGGGUAGUGGCCUACCAAGGCGGCGACGGGUAGCCGGCCUGAGAGGGUGACCGGCCACAUUGGGACUGAGAUACGGCCCAGACUCCUACGGGAGGCAGCAGUGGGGAAUAUUGCACAAUGGGCGCAAGCCUGAUGCAGCAACGCCGCGUGCGGGAUGACGGCCUUCGGGUUGGAAACCGCUUUCAGCAGGGACGAAGCUUUUUGUGACGGUACCUGCAGAAGAAGCACCGGCUAACUACGUG
rnacentral:rRNA from 1 species